rnacentral:rRNA from 1 species
CCCUUAGAUGUCCGGGGCCGCACGCGCGCUACACUGAAGGAAUCAGCGUGGCUUUCUCCCUGACCCGAAAGGGUUGGGAAACCCGUUGAAUCUCCUUCGUGAUAGGGAUUGGGGCUUGAAAUUGUUCCCCAUGAACGAGGAAUUCCCAGUAAGCGCGAGUCAUAAGCUCGCGUUGAUUACGUCCCUGCCCUUUGUACACACCGCCCGUCGCCACUACCGAUUGAACGGUUUAGUGAGGGCCUCGGAUUGGUCUCGGCCCGCUCUUUACCGGGCGGCGCCGUUGGUCGAGAAGACGCUCGAACUUGAUCGUUUAGAGGAAGUAAAAGUCGUAACA